AUUGAACGCUGGCGGCAGGCCUAACACAUGCAAGUCGAGCGAGCGGCGGACGGGUGAGUAAUGUCUGGGAAACUGCCUGAUGGAGGGGGAUAACUACUGGAAACGGUAGCUAAUACCGCAUACCAUCCGAUGUGGCAAGAGGGGAUUAGCUGGUAGGUGGGGUAACGGCUCACCUAGGCGACGAUCCCUAGCUGGUCUGAGAGGAUGACCAGCCACACUGGAACUGAGACACGGUCCAGACUCCUACGGGAGGCAGCAGUGGGGAAUCUUGCGCAAUGGGCGCAAGCCUGAUGCAGCCAUGCCGCGUGUGUGAAGAAGGCCUUCGGGUUGUAAAGCACUUUCAGCGGUGAGGCGUUACCCGCAGAAGAAGCACCGGCUAACUCCGUGCCAGCAGCCGCGGUAAUAC
rnacentral:rRNA from 1 species